GGGUCAAAUCGGCCUACACCACAGCCACAGCAAUGCCAGAUCCAGGCCACAUCUUCGGCCUAUACCAAAGCUCACGGCAACGCUGGAUCCUUAACCCACGGAGCAAGGCCAGAGAUCGAACCUGCGUCCUCAUGGAUACCAGUCAGAUUUGUUUCCGCUGAGCCACGACGAGAACUCCAUUAAGAUCUUUAUUUUCAUGGUGUGUUUUACUGGAGUUCCCGUCGUGGUGCAGUGGUUAACGAAUCCGACUAGGAAUCAUGAGGUUGCGGGUUCGGUCCCUGCCCUCGCUCAGUGGGUGAAGGAUCCGGCGUUGCCGUGAGCUGUGGUGUGGGUCGCAGAUGCGGCUCAGAUCCCCUGUUGCUGUGGCUCUGGCGUAGGCCGGUGGCUACAGCUCCGAUUUGACCCCUAGCCUGGGAACCUCCACAUGCUAUGGGAACAGCCCCAGAAAAGCCAAAAAGACAAAAGAAAAAAAAUUGGUUUUCAGGACAUCUCAAUGUCCACAUAAUAAGCUGAAAUGGCUUUGAACGUCUCUGCCGCCAAAGGAAAAGCACUAAGACUGAUGACUGUUGAUGAUGACGGUGUUGGGCGUGUUCACUGUAGAGGUGACAGUGGGUGGUGACAGUGAAGAGAAUGACAAUGGUGAUGAAGGCGAUGGAGAGUUUAGCUAAAUUUCCUGAAAGCCCACUGCUAUAGGACAGAUACUGGGCUAAACAGUUAACACUAGUAGGUAAUUAAAAUUUCUCCCAACUCUAGGAGGAAAGUAUGGAGAUUUCUUCAUUUACUUAUUUUUUUAUCAUCAUCGUCAUUAUUAUUUGGCCACAAUAAUAGGCGGAAGUUUACCAGGCCAGGGAUCGAACUCGUUGACCUGAGCCAGGGCAGCGUGCAGUGGCAACAUCAAGAUACUUCAUCCACUGAGCUACACGGGAACUCCCAUUUACUUGUUUUAAGGUUAGAGCCUUCAGGCCAUUCUCAGAAGCCUUUCAAUGGCCUCAAACGCAAAGAUAAAUAAGCAAACAGAAAGCUAUAGAGAUAUAAAGGUUUUUGGUAAAUCACUAUUAAAUUAAUGAUCAUUAUAUAGGAAAUGCUUUUAUGUUCAGAUAAAAGUCCACAGAGCUGUAUUUGUGAAGGCUGCCUCUUCACUGGUGAGUUCCUGGCUCAUUUUCAUCAAUGUCCACAUAAAAUAAGGCAGGAAUACGCAUACCAGGUGGAUCCUGCACAGCUUCUUUCCUACCACAAUCCACUCUUCAUAAUAUUCGCUACACUUGUGACAUUUUUACAAUGAGCAUGUGUUAUAUGUACAACCCAAACCAAUACAGCUUUGUCAUCUUAGAACAAACAAACGACGUAGCUUCCAAGGAUAUGCUCAGAACGAUCACUUGUAUUUAUGAGUCUGAAACGGGGAUGUGCAUAUUUAUUGAACUGUUUCCUAAGUGACAAAAGAGGCACCGGGUUUUCACCCAAACAAGUCAAAGUACAAAUGAAAGUAACAAAAACUGAAAAUGCACCUCUAAUAAAAAUAAAAAAUAGUAAGGCCAAAGAAACUCACAUCAAAUUUCACUUGGCUUUAUCUCUUAGGAACAUAUCUAAUUGGAGAUGGUGGGUGCAGCGCCGCUAGUCAUAUUAUUAGCAACAAUUACUAUUUUGUGUCUGGAUAUGUAAACUCUACAUAUUUAUUAGAUUCUCUAUUUCCUCUUUGGCUAAAAUCACUUUGGGACUUGAGCCAAAGCCACCCCUAAGCAAAAGGCAUCAGUCAGAUUAGCAUUUACCAGAACAUUCCAAAAUCAAUAAAGCAUGUAUUUUUAAGAGUCUUUUUUUGCUGGCUAUCUUUAGGUCAGCAAAGGAAGGAGUUCUAAAGAACCAGAACUGGGAGUUCCACAAAUAAACAGCCUAUUUCAUGGUUCCUUGCGGAGAAAAAUCUGGAAACUCUCAAGUGGAUUUUAUUGCUGAUCUAAAGUGACUUGACGAAACUUGGAAUCUCAAAUGAGGGAAAGAAAGAAACCCUUUGGACAGUAAGGGUUUGCCUACUGUCUUCUCAGUCAUUCUAAACUUAAGACGGAUUUUAGAUUGACUGCAUAGCACAGGGACCUAUGUUUAAUAUACUAUAAUAAACUCUAAUGGAAAAGAACUGAAAAAAGAAUAUAGACGUGUGUGUACACACACACACAUACACAUAUACGAAUCACUUUGCUGUAUACUUGAAACUAACACAAUAUGGUAUAUUGUAAAUCAAAUAUACUUCAAUUUUAAAAA
rnacentral:lncRNA from 1 species